CUCACACCUGUAAUCCCAGUACUUUGGGAGGCCGAGGCAGGCAGAUCACCUGAGGUCGGGAGUUCGAGACCAGCCUGACCAACAUGGAGAAACCCUGUCUCUACUAAAAAUACAAAAUUAGCCAGGCAUGGUGGCCCAUGCCUGUAAUUCCAGCUACUCAGGAGGCAGAGGCAGGAGAAUGGCUUGAACCCAGGAGGUGGAGGUUGCGGUGAGCCGAGAUCGAGCCACUCACUCCAGCCUGGGCAACAAGAACGAAACUCCAUAUCAAAAAAAAGAAGAAAAAAAAAAAGACCUAAGGAGGGGGAAAAAUGAAGGAAUCUCUUCAAAUUCAGCCUUUACGCAAACACAUGAAAAAUCACAGACUCAUUUGUCUGAAGUCCCAAAUCAGGCAGAAGCCCCUGAGUAAGGCCGCCGCUGCCACCCACUGCCCCUGAAAGGACAUCUGAACACAGUGAUUCCGGUGAUGCCAGGACUCCAACCAGCAAGGAGCAUUUCGAACAGAGCUGCAGAGUCUGUGCCUUCCAACGACAGCCGUGUCCCCAACGCCAUCCACUUAGCUCUCACCUUCCUCCUUCCUCCUUUCCCUGCCCGCUUUCUGUUUUUAAUCAGGACCUUGGAACUCGCUAGUACAGACCGACUUUCAAGUUCAGUCUUUUAAGGAAAAUGACUCUUGGUUUCCAGCCUGUAUGUGUCAUUACAGCCUCAUGCGUCUCAGGGAAAUUAGCAACCUGAUUCUUGCCCUGACUGUCAUUUAAAAUAAAAAGCUUUCUUAUUUG
rnacentral:lncRNA from 1 species